GACGAACUUUGGCGGCGUGCUUAACACAUGCAAGUCGAACGGAAAGGCCCUGCUUUUGUGGGGUGCUCGAGUGGCGAACGGGUGAGUAACACGUGAGUAACCUGCCCUUGACUUUGGGAUAACUUCAGGAAACUGGGGCUAAUACCGGAUAGGAGCUCCUGCUGCAUGGUGGGGGUUGGAAAGUUUCGGCGGUUGGGGAUGGACUCGCGGCUUAUCAGCUUGUUGGUGGGGUAGUGGCUUACCAAGGCUUUGACGGGUAGCCGGCCUGAGAGGGUGACCGGCCACAUUGGGACUGAGAUACGGCCCAGACUCCUACGGGAGGCAGCAGUGGGGAAUAUUGCACAAUGGGCGGAAGCCUGAUGCAGCAACGCCGCGUGCGGGAUGACGGCCUUCGGGUUGUAAACCGCUUUCGCCUGUGACGAAGCGUGAGUGACGGUAAUGGGUAAAGAAGCACCGGCUAACUACGUGCCAGCAGCCGCGGUGAUACGUAGGGUGCGAGCGUUGUCCGGAUUUAUUGGGCGUAAAGGGCUCGUAGGUGGUUGAUCGCGUCGGAAGUGUAAUCUUGGGGCUUAACCCUGAGCGUGCUUUCGAUACGGGUUGACUUGAGGAAGGUAGGGGAGAAUGGAAUUCCUGGUGGAGCGGUGGAAUGCGCAGAUAUCAGGAGGAACACCAGUGGCGAAGGCGGUUCUCUGGGCCUUUCCUGACGCUGAGGAGCGAAAGCGUGGGGAGCGAACAGGCUUAGAUACCCUGGUAGUCCACGCUGUAAACGGUGGGUACUAGGUGUGGGGUCCAUUCCACGGGUUCCGUGCCGUAGCUAACGCUUUAAGUACCCCGCCUGGGGAGUACGGCCGCAAGGCUAAAACUCGAAGGAAUUGACGGGGCCCCGCACAAGCGGCGGAGCAUGCGGAUUAAUUCGAUGCAACGCGUAGAACCUUACCUGGGUUUGACAUGGAUCGGGAGUGCUCAGAGAUGGGUGUGCCUCUUUUGGGGUCGGUUCACAGGUGGUGCAUGGCUGUCGUCAGCUCGUGUCGUGAGAUGUUGGGUUAAGUCCCGCAACGAGCGCAACCCUUGUUCACUGUUGCCAGCACGUUAUGGUGGGGACUCAGUGGAGACCGCCGGGGUCAACUCGGAGGAAGGUGGGGAUGACGUCAAGUCAUCAUGCCCCUUAUGUCCAGGGCUUCACGCAUGCUACAAUGGCUGGUACAGAGAGUGGCGAGCCUGUGAGGGUGAGCGAAUCUCGGAAAGCCGGUCUCAGUUCGGAUUGGGGUCUGCAACUCGACCUCAUGAAGUCGGAGUCGCUAGUAAUCGCAGAUCAGCAACGCUGCGGUGAAUACGUUCCCGGGGC
rnacentral:rRNA from 1 species